UACAGAGGCCCCAAGCGUUGUUCGGAAUUACUGGGCGUAAAGGGUGCGUAGGUUGCGUGGUAAGUCAUUUGCAAAAGCUCCAGGCUCAACUUGGAAAUCGCAAACGAUACUGCCUCGCUUGAGUUCUUAAGAGGGAGUUGGAAUUCACGGAGUAGCAGUGAAAUGCGUAGAGAUCGUGAGGAACACCAAAGGCGAAGGCAGGCUCCUGGGAAGAAACUGACACUGAGGCACGAAGGCCAAGGUAGCAAACGGG
rnacentral:rRNA from 1 species